CACGAAUCGUUCAUUCGUUUGGGAAUUCUGGAGGGGAAUACAAUAUCAGCUGGACCAAACACCCUCUAGGGUUCCCCAGAGUUCUAUAAAUUUUAGAAAACCCUAAAGCCUAAACGCAAUAUUUUAACAGUUAAACCAACAUCUUAUACCUCAUAAGCACCGAUGCGCAUAGCAUUCAUUCGGAAUUCGAAGAAUGAGAUCCAAGUCUAUAGUUCCCUGUUUCAGAUUUAAGCUAUCCUCAAAGUUUUACCGUUUAUGUUUACUUCUGAUUCUUAGUUUUAUAUACGAGCAUCAGUGAUGAGCAAAUUCAAAAUUGUUAUCCUUGCACUUUGAUUACCCGUGAAGAAGCUUAUGGGGAAUUAUUUCUGAGGCUACAUGUACCAAGGGAAGGGUGAAUUUUCAGUACUCUUCAUCUUGAAUGUGCCAUACCGGCUGUAGCCAAAUUGAAAUUCGGUUAGGGAAGUUUACUGGCCGGUUGUUGUUACAUCCAUUUUUAGGUCUCGUCGACAAAUCUGCUUACCGAGCUUCUCACACUCAUUCCACAGGGAUGGCUACGACUACCAGGCUCGGUUACCUGCACUUCACCUCAAUUCCAGCCCUGCUAGUAUUUACAUAUUUUUGCUUUGUAGAUUUCAGUUAUUAGUAAAGUCUUAUAGAAAGAGUUGUUACAUCUGUUAUUCAUAAAUUAAUUAGAAAAUAUAGUUUAUGAGAAAUAAAUAAAGAAAACGUGGUUGGUGUUUGCUGA